UUAUAGGUCUGUAGGCCUUUGGUGUCGUCCUUGCCCAAAAAUUCCGUUAUGAUAAGCCUUCGAUCGGUUGGAUUUACAAUCGACAACAACUCUCAUUUGAAACACCUUAUAUUUUAAAUUAGUUAACAAUCAAAUCAUCAAUGAUUUUGUGUAUAUAUUUUCAAUUAACAUUUAUUUAAUUUUCAUUCCGUAAUAAAAUUUCGUACCUUAAAGACGUGUGUUAGUUCUUAGAAAGUUAAUACUAUUCCACAAUUACAACCCUGCAAUAGGUAAUGGGACUGUCAGUAUGGAACUUCGUUUGCAAAACUAAAUGCAGAUAAUUACCAUCUAUGGAAAUAUAAGUUGGAGUUGAUUUUGCGUAAAAGGAUUAUGGAUUUGCGUUUCUGAGCCUGUGCCAUAAAAAAUAACAGAAGUUUGGACAAAGCAGAAUGAAGACGCCACCGCAAUUAUUGGACUUUCUGUCGAAGAUGUUCAGUUAAUGUUAAUAAAGAAGACCAAAACAGCCCACGAAUAAUGGACGAUUCUUCAAAGUCACUACGAGAAGAAUACUCUUUGAAGCAGCGUGCGGAUAAUGAAGCAGAUAUGUAGCAUGAUAUAUUCAAUGGGCACGAGUAUAUCAGACCAUAUCAUGGACAUGAAUUUGUUAUUCGAGAAGUUGGAAGCAAUUUGUGGGAAUUUUUCUGAACGGUGGUUAGCAGCGAUGUUGUUUAGUAGCCUACCGGGUUCAAGGAAUCAGAGAAAGGUAAUGAUAUUGUUUUCCGCUUGUAAUAGCGGUUCGGAAUGGAUUCUCGACUUGUCAUAUUAAGUCACAACGUUGGCAUUUUGUAUCGCUCACCGACAACACUUUUAACAUUAAACUUGAAGAUGUUUUAUACAUACCCUCCUUUCAAGGCAAUCUGCUAUCUGUCAAUAAAAUAUUGAAAAAGGGGCAAAGCAUUACAUUCAAGAACGAGACAGCACGAAUUCGAAGAAGAAAUGGGAAAGAAAUAGGAAUUGCGGACUUAUCCUCAGGACUUUUCCAUUUACGUCAAGGACAAAAAGGUAUGUUAGCCGAAUGCAAAUCUUCAAAUUGCCUACAUUAUUGGCAUAAUGCAAUUAGAGAUGGAAAAGAAAAACCUCAUAGAUAAUCAUACGGUGAAAGAUUAUGGUAUUCGAAAAAUCUGUGAUGUUUGCGUCAAAUGUAAGACGACGAGGGCACUAUUCAAUAAACAAUCAACUAAAAACUCUACACGAGUUCUAGACCUGGUGCACACUGACGUCAGUGGACCAAUGUAAGAAAUAUUCUUACGUUUAUUGACGAUUUCAGCCGAUACACGGUUGUGUAUUUACUUAAUACUAAAGAUAAAGUCUUUGAAAAGAUAAAGUCAUUUGUUGAGUUGGUAAAUAAUAAAUUCGGAAGGUACCCCACAGUUUUGAGAUCUGAUAAUGGUGAAUGGUAUUGCGGAAAGGAAAACCCGGACACAGGUAGAAAUGACGCGAUGCUUGUUGGAAGAAGCUUAACUACCGAAUGAUUUCUGGGGUGAGGCAAUAAUGACAUAAAACUAUCUCCAAAACCGUUUAUAUUCAAGAUCCGUGAAUGUGAUACCAUAUGAAUUAUGGGAAAAAAGACGCCCAGAUACACAAAAGUUAAAAAUUUUCGGAACCAAAGGACCUGUAUUGAUUCCUAGUAAGAAACGGCAAAAAUGGGACACCAAAACGGAAAUUUUGACAUUUGUCGGUUACGACGAAUAUUCCAAUGGUUAUCAUAUGGUAAACACGAAAGCAAAAAAAGUAACAAUAAGUAGGGAUGUUAAAUUUAUUCAAAAUGUGUAUACUCUUGAAUCUUGUGAAAACAGGCAUGCAGAAAAAUUUGGUUAUAACGCAUUUGAGCCAAAAUCGGAAUUGAUUGAACCAAGAACUUACAACGCGGCAUUGAAAUCACACCAGCGAGAAAAAUGGAUUGAUGCAUUAAAAGAAGAGUUUAAUCAUUUAAAGAAAACUGGCACAUGGGAUUAGGUAAUAGCUCCGCAAAACUUGAAUAUUGUUAGCUGCAAGUAGACAUAGAAGCUUAAACGUGACGCUGAGGGGAAAGUGCAAAGAAAUAAGGCUCGUUUGGUAGCACGAGGAUUUAUUCAAAAGUAUGGAUUGGAUUACGAGGAAGUCUAUGCUUAAGUAAUAAAACAAGCCACUGUACGAACUCUAUUGUCUAUAGCUGGACGUAAGAAUAUGUCGGUUGUACACUAUGAUGUAAACUCUGCGUUUUUAAAUGGUGAGAUGAAUGAAGGAUAUAUACGGCUCAACCACCAAGAUUUGCAGAAAGUGAUCAAAACCUUGUAUGCAAACUAAGGAAAAGUAUUAUGGACUGAAGCAAGCUGCACACAUCUGGAACGGUACUUUACAUAAUGUUUUGUCCAAUGGCAGUUUUCAACACUCCAGUGCCGACUGGUUAAUAUACGAUCUGGUUUACGUUACUGACAUGGAAAUACUCCAAGAUGAGUCGUCGAAUUCUUGCGUACGUCAGAGGACUUACAUUAAUAAUCUUUUGAAAGAAUAUUGACUUGAUAAGUCAAAAGAAUCGAAUUAUCCAAUGAACCCAUCAUAUGGGUAAAUCUAUGUCAGAAAAGUUGCUGGAUAAUACAAGUUUUAAGUUCUAAUCUGAGUUCUAAUUCGAGACCAGAUAUUGCUACCUGCGUGUCUAUUCUUGCGCGUAAAGUCAGCGAGCCAAGUCAGAGGUUUGGAUAAAGGGUACAUCUAAUUAUUUUCUAAGGCUUAGUAAAGCGGAACUUGAGUCAUAUAUCCUUCAAGGAUAUGCGGAUACUAAUUGGGCUGAAGUCAUAAAGGAUAGAAAACCCAAUUCAGGGUAUGUUUUCCAAUUAAAUUGAGGAUCCAUCAGUUGGUCAUGCAGAAAACAAACCUGUGUUUCCCUGUCAUCAACAGAAGCAGAAUUUAUAGCAUCCUCUGAGGCGUGUAAAGAAGCUAUUUGGCUUUGAAAGCUUCUUAAGGAUAAAAGAGGGGAAACUAAGCCAACGAACAAAGCAUAUUGACACAAAAAUAUAUUUUGCUAAAGAUCAUCAUAUUGAAAAGAAAGAUGUCGCAUGCGUUUACUGUCUAAGUCAGAUGAUGGUUGCCGAUGAAAUGCCGAAACCAGUACCGUCUUCAAUAUAAGAAAAAUUCUUGGUGUUGUAAUCGAAUGAGGAAGAGUGUUGGAGUUAAAAUCGACAACAACUCUCACUUGAAAGACUACAUAUUAAUUUAGUUAACAAAUGACAUUAAAUUUUAUUUUCAUUCCAUAACAAAUUUCGUACCUUGAAGACGUGUGUUAGUUCUUAGAAAGUUAAUACUAUUCCACAAUUGUAAACCUGCAAUACGAUCAACCUCAUUAUUCCAAGAUUCCGGUGUUCCGUGAGUCCCGUCGUAUGCUGUGAAAAAUGGGUUUUCAUUAAAAGUC